AACUAACGCUGGCGGCGCGCCUAAUACAUGCAAGUCGAACGAUGUAGCAAUACAUAGUGGCGCACGGGAGAGUAACACGUGGAUAAUCUCCCCUCGAGAGAAGAAUAACUAGUCGAAAGAUUGGCUAAUACUUCGUAAGACCACAGAAACAAAUGUUUCAGGGGUAAAAGUCGUAAGACGCUUGAGGAUGAGUCUGCGUCCCAUUAGCUAGUUGGUGAGGUAAUGGCUCACCAAGGCUUCGAUGGGUAGCUGGUCUGAGAGGAUGAUCAGCCUCACUGGAACUGACACACGGUCCAGACUCCUACGGGAGGCAGCAGUAGGGAAUAUUGCACAAUGGAGGAAACUCUGAUGCAGCGACGCCGCGUGAGUGAUGAAGGACUUCGGUUGUAAAGCUCUGUUUGUCAGGGAAUAAAAAAAUGAAUGUACCUGACGAGAAAGGACCGGCUAACUUCGUGUCCAGCAGCCGCGGUAAU
rnacentral:rRNA from 1 species